GCUGUCCUGGAACUUGCUGGCCUCUGUUUCCCAAGUGCUGGGAUUAAAAGGCUAAAGAUGUGCACCCUACAGCCCCAGCUAUGGGGAGCACUCUUAAGGAGCACUCUUCAAGAAUAUACUUCAGUACUAGCGGGAGGCUAGGGAACACCACCUCGGUCCCUGCCGGGCUACGGGAGUUUUUGGCAUCACCCUCCUGCCCCUGCUGGAUCAGAAUAGUGUGUCACUCAAGCAGGAACGUGCUCCCAGUCCUGGGCUUGUGCACCCAAGACCACAGUGUCCAGUGUCCAGCAGCUCCUACCCAUCUCCAUCCUUCAGUCCUUCAGGUUCCAGGGGUCCGGAGUUGAUGCAGAGAUUCCAGGCAGCAAACAGAACACCUCAGGAGUCAGGUGGGACCAGUGUCAGGUAGAGGUCUGGACUCCCACAGCAGCUGUGAGAAGGUCGGAGGACUUGGGAGCACUGUGUCUCUAGUUACUGUUUAUGUAAGUAAAAUCCCCGCCGCCCAAGCCUGAGCUUGGUUCCUAGAACUAGAACUCGUGGUGGAAAGAGAAAGCCCUCUAACCUCCACAGAGGCGCAGUGACAAGCCUGCCUCCAUCCCACAGAAAUGUAUCACUGGUGGUGGUGGCAGCACACAGAAACAACCGGAAUUUCCAUGUGGUCCGCUUUCAGACACUUUCUUUGAUCUUUCCCUUUUUAGCUGUUAUAUGUUUGGUUGUUCAGACACGAUUUUCUUUAAUCUUUUAAAUAUAUUGAA